rnacentral:rRNA from 1 species
AUUGAACGCUGGCGGCAUGCCUUACACAUGCAAGUCGAACGGCAGCGGGGGAGAAGCUUGCUUUUCCUGCCGGCGAGUGGCGAACGGGUGAGUAAUACAUCGGAACGUGCCCUGUAGUGGGGGAUAACUAGUCGAAAGAUUAGCUAAUACCGCAUACGACCUGAGGGUGAAAGCGGGGGACCGCAAGGCCUCAUGUUAUAGGAGCGGCCGAUGUCUGAUUAGCUAGUUGGCGGGGUAAAGGCCUACCAAGGCGACGAUCAGUAGCUGGUCUGGGAGGAGGAUCAGCCACACUGGGACUGAGACACGGCCCAGACUCCUACGGGAGGCAGCAGUGGGGAAUUUUGGACAAUGAGCGAAAGCCUGAUCCAGCAAUGCCGCGUGUGUGAAGAAGGCCUUCGGGUUGUAAAGCACUUUUGUCCGGAAAGAAAUGGCUCUGGUUAAUACCUGGGGUCGAUGACGGUACCGGAAGAAUAAGGACCGGCUAACUACGUGCCAGCCGCCGCCGUAA